UACCAAUUAGGCUCAGCUAACUGGCCAG
rnacentral:piRNA from 1 species